CCUGCUAAUGCUGGUCUGGCUGCCCAACA
rnacentral:piRNA from 1 species